UACGAAGGGGGCUAGCGUUGCUCGGAAUUACUGGGCGUAAAGCGCACGUAGGCGGACCAGUUAGUUGGGGGUGAAAUCCCGGGGCUCAACCCCGGAACUGCCUCCAAAACUGCUGGUCUGGAGGUCGAGAGAGGUGAGUGGAAUUCCGAGUGUAGAGGUGAAAUUCGUAGAUAUUCGGAGGAACACCAGUGGCGAAGGCGGCUCCAGCUG
rnacentral:rRNA from 1 species